ensembl:lncRNA
UAAACCCAUGCAGGUCAAGGCUUGCUGCCAGACCAAAUUGUUCUUUCUUCAAUUUCCGUGAAGUCAAAUAGGAUUAAUUGCAAAGGGCAGCCAUGCAGUUCAGACCAAAAGUGCACCCACCCUAGUGCGGGGCUCUAAAAGCGCCUAGCUGAGGGUGCCUUGGGAUGAGCAAAGCCAUGGGGCACACAGAAAAAGGUGCAUUCUCAGGAUACCCUCCAGAGUUUGGCAUUAAGGAUUAUGUAUUUCUUUACACGUUCAGACACUGAUGAAUAUGAGAGAUGGUAGCAGAGAGGGCACAAGGCCUCCUACCCUGAAAGAAGGCGCUGGCACUUCAGGAGCUGGGGCCAAGUGCUGCCCACAGGGGGACCAGCGACAUCUGAAAGACCCAGCAUCAGAAGUAUCUGGAGGUUUCAUACCUAUGGAAGCCAUUUAAAGAUGGCUUUGGAAAGGAUUGCCUUAACAAAACCACCAGCUCCUACUUCUGGGAGACAACUGCCACUUUCACCCCAGGGAGUGACAUUCCAUCCCAGGAGCCACAAACAACUACAAGCAAGUUUACAGGAUUUUUCAUAGUUCGGUCCACAGCUUCAUGCCCAGCUUGCUUCAUGGUCUAAGAUCCCCUGGAUGUUUCCCAUACUCCUCGUAGAACGUGUCUGUCGUCAUUAUGGGAAGAAUCUGAGGAGCCGCGAUGAUAAGAGGGCGCUUUAUGUAACUCUUGGUUCUUGUGGCUGCAAUUUAGUGUCUAGGAACAAUGCAGAGACACAGUUAGCAUGUGACCAGCCAGCUCUCCACAGACUAUUGUCAAAGACUCCGCAAACCACAGCCUGGCAACACUUCAACCCCCAUGAAACCCCAAAUUCACUGCUUUCCCAACAAGUCUCAUUCCAGAGCACAGCAAGGAACUAUGAGCAAUUCUGGCUUCUUUUACCCUUAGGUGUGGAGCCAAGUACACACCUACAUGCGGUGUAGUCACAGCAGGUACACAUUUGCCAGGAAUGCCCACAUUUGCCCUUAGCCUGCCCUGUGUUCCUCACAGAGAAUCAGUCCUGGGCUGAGUCAGGGCUGGCAACCACUUCCUAAUGGGGCUCAGGUGCACAGCAGGGCCUGUGGGAUGAGCUUCUCAUUAUACCAAAAAUUGUUAGUGCUGGGGUGAUCCCCCAUGACUGGCUGUUGUUUGCAUGAAGCACAGAACACAACCACAUGCUACAUGGAUGAGAUGGUUCAACCGCAAAAGGCUGUUUCCUUGUGAAGAGGUUGAAGGAUGAGACCUUGCACCUUCUGCUGUUACAUCUACAUCUGAGUCUGCAUCAUGCGACUUGGGCAACCCAGAAGUACUGGAAGCCCUGGUUCCCAGAUCCACAUGCUAACCAACAGAAGGGGGAAAUGAUGCAGAAAAUCAAAGUAGGAGAUCUGAAGUCUGAGCCCGGAUGACUGUAGGCAUAUUAGAGGCUAUUCUGGGGCAGUAACAAUACAUACUUAUCCUCUUUUUGUACUCAUUCCAAGCAUACGCUCUCAGUCACUGUCAGAGGCAAUGGAGAGCACUAGGCAGACAUUGGGUUUGACACGGUACAGCCACAGUUACACUCCUAGGAGGAUGCGACGCUGGUGGGAAGGUGUGCCCAGCAGAUGCCCUGUGCUCCUUCUUACUGACUUUUCCAGCUAUGGGGAGGAGGUGGGAGCUUGGUCCCAUUCCAUCACAAAGCCAGGACACAGACAGAGACUCUCCAGGAGAGCCAUGACGCACGUCACGAAGAAGCCAUAACACAGACCCAGCCUGCGGGAACUGUGCAACCAAUGUCAAUAAGAGAAAGAUCAGAUGCUAGUCCUAAAAUUACUUGCUUUAAGUUAAUGUUAAACAUAUUGCCAAAGCAUCUUACACAAUUUCAAUUAUGCACCGAAAGAAUCUGCCAUGUGGAGUUCAAAUUUAAUUAUAUUGUCAUUUACUCCAAGGAAUGCUUGUGGUUUGAGCACUGUUUACAUUUAUUAUCUUCUGGUUUACAUUUUUUCCCAGAUUAAUAGAUCAUAAGAUACCACUGCAUCAAGAUUUAACAUUUAGACAGGAUACUAUUUUAACAUUAUGUGGUAACUCUUUAGAAACCAAACAAUUGUCAGCCUACUCCCGCUGAAGUAACUCUUUGUUCCAAAUGCAUGUCCCUCAAAGCCCUGGAAUGUCCUCAUGGUGAGGUGGCUGCCAAAUCCUGAAGCGAGUGCUGGGGUCAGUUUCCCUGCUGGUGCAACACUAAUGACCCCAUGGAGAUGUGCCAAAAGGGAUUUUGGCCAUCCGUGUAACUGCCCCCAGGAUGUUCAUUGCUCAGUUGUGCGGUACAAGCCCAUGCUGAGAACAUAUAAUGUGCCUUGGAUGCUUUAUCCCAGCAAAGCAGUUUGUCAGCUGGGUUAUACACAGAAAUAAAGAACCCGAAUGAUGCAUUAAUGCCAUAAGCAUGGUUCCAAGUGCCAAACUCCCUGGUGUAAGCAGUAAUUUUGAUCACAACCCAACCAUGUAAUGACAGGCUAACCACAAGACCAGUAUUCACCUCACAGCAGCAUGGUGGCUCUGGAUGCUGGCUGUGCCUCCUGGUGCAGGUUCCCUCCCAUACGGCCCAAGGCACUGACAUUUGCUGACACUCAUAUGUAUGUGCCCAGCCUGCUCAGAACCAGGGAUAGCCAGCAGGGAUUAGAUAUCCAGAUAGGAGAGUGCCACAUUAUCAAACCAAAAUUUUAUCUAUACAACAUCAUCUAAACAGCGUCAGUAAUAUUACAGUAUAGAAAAAGUAGUGAACUGAAAUUAUAGUGUAAAAAAAAUGCCUAGUCACAACACUUUACAGUAAAUAUUGUGAAAGUGAGGAAGAAAACACAGCAUUUCCCUCAGCUCUUCCCUACCCACUUUUCUUUAGGAAUGGUAUUUGACUGUGUUUCAUUUGAGAUUACCAUGCAGGUAUGAUGAAAUCUCAGGAUGUGCUCAGUCUAUACCAACUCUAGAUUUCUUUUCAAGCAAAUGUGUUGUUCAGUGCAGGCUCAAGCAGAGAAGAAAAAUGCUGUCGAGUCAGUGAAGACAGAUAUAUUCUCACUAAGUAUUAUAGUACACUAGACUGAGACAUACUAUAUAAUACAAUUAAGAUAAAGAUGUAUAUACAUAUGGAUUUUUGGGGGUCUGUUCCUGCCCUUUCUUGUGCAAGAGAAAACUUAUGACACUUUAAUAUAAACCUUGGGCUGUUUGGUUUUUUUUUGAGGACUGCAGAAUCAGGACACAUGAGUACUAACAAUGUGGGAGUCUGUGCACACUCCUCAGGCGUGUUGUUUAUUAGAACAGUGUACACAAGGUUGUCACCUGUACUAAUACUUCACUAAAAUAUACACGAUCUGAUCAAAGCUAUAUCCUUA